GAGAGUGGUUAGAAUGUGGAACUAGCUACUACAUGGAGUGACUGAGGCAAUUAUCAUAAAUGCAUUUAAGAGGAUGACAGAUGCUGCCAGACUUGCUGAGAAUUGCAAGCAUUUUCUGUUUUUAUUAUUAUAGUUCAUGAGUCCAAUGACUCAAAAUAAUGCAAGAAACUAAGGAUGAAAAAGGAAGGCUGAGUAAAUAUCCUGGAUUUACUUUCAGGGAGAGAACAUUUUCGCAGUAUCCUUUAGCAGGAGUUUCAGUUGGUUGAAUCCAGAGUAGAGCAAAGUACACACUGGCUGCGGAAGGAACAAAUUCGAUGGACUGGGGUCACCCUCUAAACCCAGUGUAUAUUCUCUGACACUGAUGUUAACCAUGAAACAGGGUGUGCGUGUUUCAGGCAGUGAUGUGACGUACCUGUAACCUGCAGACUGCUGUGGCCUUGCUGACACCAGAUAUUCUCCCCAUACGGUGUGUCGCUGUGCUGCAAUGUUCUGGAGCUUACCAGGUGCUUUGCCCAUUUCUCAGCCUUCUUGCUGAUUUCUGGGUUCAGGGUUAACGGCCCCACUCCAUGCUUUGCCCGAUAUUCAUUCAGAGAUUUCAACAACUGCGCAGCAAACCUUCCAGAACCUUCACCUAAAAGAAAGAGAUCUCAGUGAUGUACUGUGACUGGGAACUGCAGAGCCUGUAGAGUGAGGGAGCUCAGCCUGAAGAAGCACAAUGUCUCUUUCUCUCCGGGUAAUGUGAACAUGUCUGGAGAUUGCAGUCCUUUAGCCACCUAAGCACUGAAAUUCCCUCCCUAAACAUCUCCGCCUCUUUAACUCUCUCUAGCCUUAAGAUGCUCCUUAAAACCUACCAUUUUGUUCAAGCUUUUGGUUACCUGCCCUAAUAUCUCCCUAUGCUACUCAUAAAAUGUUGUUUUCUAAUGCUCCUGUAAAGUAGCCUGGGAUGUUUUACUACAUUAAAGUUGGAUAUAUAAAUGCAA